rnacentral:misc_RNA from 1 species
CUUUAUUAAUUUUUUAUAUAUAAUUUAUAUUAAAUAUAAAAAUAUAUUUUUUAAAUAAAAAGACGAUAAGACCCUAUUAAAUUUUACUUAUAGUUUAACUGGGGAAGUUUUAAAAAUAAAAUUUUUUAUAAAAAUAAAAAUAAAUCUAAUAAAAUUAAAAUUAAAUUAAAUUACUAUAGGGAUAACAGCAUUAUAUUUUUUAAAAGUUCAUAUUAAAAAAAAUGAUUGUGACCUCGAUGUUGAAUUAUAUUUUCUUUAUUAAUGCAAUAAUUAUAAAAGUAGAUCUGUUCGAUCUUUAAAAUAUUACAUGAUUUGAGUUCAAACCGGUGUAAACCAGGUUGGUUUCUAUCUUUUUAUAAAUUCAUAUAUAUAUAUAUAUAUGUAUAUAUAUAUAUAUAUAUAUAUAUAAAUUUUUCAAGUACGAAAGGAAAAAAAAAUUUUUAUUUUAAUUAAUUAGCAAUUAAUAUGCAUUAGAUUUAGAAUCUAAAUAAACUAUU